AACGCUGAGGUGUGAUGACGAGGCACUACGGUGCUGAAGUAACAAAUGCCCUGCUUCCAGGAAAAGCCUCUAAGCAUCAGGUAACACGAAAUCGUACCCCAAACCGACACAGGUGGUCAGGUAGAGAAUACCAAGGCGCUUGAGAGAACUCGGGUGAAGGAACUAGGCAAAAUGGUGCCGUAACUUCGGGAGAAGGCACGCUGAUAUGUAGGUGAAGCGGUUUACCCGUGGAGCUGAAAUCAGUCGAAGAUACCAGCUGGCUGCAACUGUUUAUUAAAAACACAGCACUGUGCAAACACGAAAGUGGACGUAUACGGUGUGACGCCUGCCCGGUGCCGGAAGGUUAAUUGAUGGGGUUAUCCGUAAGGAGAAGCUCUUGAUCGAAGCCCCGGUAAACGGCGGCCGUAACUAUAACGGUCCUAAGGUAGCGAAAUUCCUUGUCGGGUAAGUUCCGACCUGCACGAAUGGCGUAAUGAUGGCCAGGCUGUCUCCACCCGAGACUCAGUGAAAUUGAACUCGCUGUGAAGAUGCAGUGUACCCGCGGCAAGACGGAAAGACCCCGUGAACCUUUACUAUAGCUUGACACUGAACACUGGUCCUUGAUGUGUAGGAUAGGUGGGAGGCUUUGAAGUGUGGACGCCAGUCUGCAUGGAGCCAUCCUUGAAAUACCACCCUUUAAUGGCUGGUGUUCUAACGUGGACCCGUUACCCGGGUUGCGGACAGUGUCUGGUGGGUAGUUUGACUGGGGCGGUCUCCUCCUAAAGAGUAACGGAGGAGCACGAAGGUUAGCUAAUCCUGGUCGGACAUCAGGAGGUUAGUGCAAAGGCAUAAGCUAGCUUGACUGCGAGAGUGACGGCUCGAGCAGGUGCGAAAGCAGGUCUUAGUGAUCCGGUGGUUCUGAAUGGAAGGGCCAUCGCUCAACGGAUAAAAGGUACUCCGGGGAUAACAGGCUGAUACCGCCCAAGAGUUCAUAUCGACGGCGGUGUUUGGCACCUCGAUGUCGGCUCAUCACAUCCUGGGGCUGAAGUAGGUCCCAAGGGUAUGGCUGUUCGCCAUUUAAAGUGGUACGCGAGCUGGGUUUAGAACGUCGUGAGACAGUUCGGUCCCUAUCUGCCGUGGGCGCUGGAGAAUUGAGGGGGGCUGCUCCUAGUACGAGAGGACCGGAGUGGACGCAUCACUGGUGUUCGGGUUGUCAUGCCAAUGGCAUUGCCCGGUAGCUAAAUGCGGAAGAGAUAAGUGCUGAAAGCAUCUAAGCACGAAACUUGCCCCG
rnacentral:rRNA from 1 species